rnacentral:rRNA from 1 species
CUUCCGUAGGGUAACCUGCGGAAGGAUCAUUACCGAGUGCGGGUCCUUUGGGCCCAACCUCCCAUCCGUGUCUAUUGUACCCUGUUGCUUCGGCGGGCCCGCCGCUUGUCGGCCGCCGGGGGGGCGCCUCUGCCCCCCGGGCCCGUGCCCGCCGGAGACCCCAACACGAACACUGUCUGAAAGCGUGCAGUCUGAGUUGAUUGAAUGCAAUCAGUUAAAACUUUCAACAAUGGAUCUCUUGGUUCCGGCAUCGAUGAAGAACGCAGCGAAAUGCGAUAACUAAUGUGAAUUGCAGAAUUCAGUGAAUCAUCGAGUCUUUGAACGCACAUUGCGCCCCCUGGUAUUCCGGGGGGCAUGCCUGUCCGAGCGUCAUUGCUGCCCUCAAGCCCGGCUUGUGUGUUGGGUCGCCGUCCCCCUCUCCGGGGGGACGGGCCCGAAAGGCAGCGGCGGCACCGCGUCCGAUCCUCGAGCGUAUGGGGCUUUGUCACAUGCUCUGUAGGAUUGGCCGGCGCCUGCCGACGUUUUCCAACCAUUCUUUCCAGGUUGACCUCGGAUCAGGUAGGGAUACCCGCUGAACUUAAGCAUAUCAAUAAUCGGAGGAA